AUAUGUUUGGUAUCGCACCAAGUCUGGAAUUUUUCCAUUUAUAGAGAUAAGUCUAGCGAGUUGUAUCACACCUGCUAUUUAAAAGAAUCUCUUUUACCUAUUCUGAACAGGUCAUCUCCAAAUCCCGGAACCAUGAAGGAGCCAUGCCUUCAGAUGGAGGAUUUCUAGACUGGGAUGGAGGAUUUGACCUGUAAGAAGAGAUAUGAAGCCAACUCUAAUGUGACUGGUGGACAAGCCACCAAGACACAUGAGGAAGAACAGCCAAAAAAGGAUACGUAUUCCAUUCAUCCCUGAAAUUUUGAAGUCAUCAAUUAACUGUACAACCAUGUCUUUGUUUGGAUCGUUAGGAUCACUUUCACGAACCUAAGCAAAGAAAGAAGAUACUGGAAAUAAUUCAUCUUUUUAGAAGGUUCUCCACAGAAAAUAAUGAUGUUUCUGAUGCAACUGCUGAACGCAUGAGAGAGAGAAAGAGAAAAUAAGAGAGAUCAUUAUUCCUUAAUGUCUCUUGAAUGUAUUGGUAAUCGUAGCUGAUGAAUUCCACUGCUGUGUAGGAAAUUAUCCCCUUUGUGAACUGAAUGAAUGGGAGACAUCUCUGGAGGAGAAACCAGAAAAUCAGAGAGGCAAAGUAUUCCAACUGAUGAUAGUCUCUUGAGAGUAAUCUCCAAAUGUUUAAGGUUUUUCAGAAAUAGGAGAACAAUAGCAUCAUGGUUCAUAUAUGCCUUCACAAAUCAAGUAGUUGGAAUUUUGAGAUUUAAUUACAUUUCUAGACAAGUGGACAUUUAAAACAGGCCUGAUCUAAAACCCACUGAAGUCAAGGGAAGUCUUUCCACUGAUUUGACUGGGCUUUGAAUCAAGUCUUCGGGGAACAGUGCCUGAUCUAAUUAAAUCAAUUUCUUGCACACAAAAGACGUUCCCCCCUUUAAUGAUAUUACAUCAACUAAUGACCAUGACCUCAUAGAAAAAUGUAAAAGGCCUAACUUAACUAUACAUAUAUAUUAGGAACAAGUAAGCUAGUCAUGCUAUUCUAUGAACUAUGUGCGUGCUAUUAGAUACUUUCAUAUUUUGUCUACUUCUUUAAUUUCCAUCAGUAGAUACUUUUAGAAAUGCUUUUCUGCCUCUUAUGUUAUUUAAUCAGAGAAGAUAAUCAGCCCCAAUUCUAUACUGAUGGCCUAGGAGUACAGUAAGGCUCGUCAGGUUGAUAACUGCGCUCUUUCACUUUAGGUUGCUAGUUCAAAUCAAUCCUAGCCUAGAGACUGAAAAAAUCAUUACCUCCUGAGAGAUGUUUGCUGGCCAAUGUGAAAUGAGCUAGAGACCCAAGUAAAGUUCUUAGAAGCAUUAAAAAUAAAAUCAAUUAGGCACUGACUACGCACAUUUGUUGGCACAGUUAAUAGAGGUUCAAGUGUUUAAUGUGUAUGGAAGUCGAAUUACCUGCUCAAUCCUCAAAGCAGCCCACCUUGGGAUUUCAGAUCAAGGUUGAUUUACUGGCAAAGUAUGGUAAUGUUUCACUGAAAAAUUAAUGAGGAGUCUCAGAUGGUUUUGAGGAUGGAGUUAAGAGAAGAGGAGACACACUAAUGGAACACAGUAAGUUCCAAUUUUUAUAUUCCAUCCCAUUAAUAUAAGGUAUGGGAAGAUUAACAGAAACAGAAAAGGUAGCAAAAGGUGAAUAUGUGAUGCUUGCAGACCAGGUCAUGUCAGAGACUAUUCUCUCUUGUGUAUUAGUAUAGAUCAAAGCAAUUAGUGUUUUGGGUGUUUAAACUUCAUAAAACUAAUGGGAUGUUACAUGCAUUGUUUUCACUUAUCUGUUCCUGUUAUAAUGUAAUAGCAAAUAUUUAGAUUAUGUAUACCCCUGUAACUAAAUAACUCAUCAGACAUCAAAGAAGCCUUGGGGAAUGCUAAUGAAGGACUAUCAGAAAAGUUGCUAAUUCCAAAGCAAAUGGCCACUGUGGUGAUGACUGAGGUCAGAGAUUCAAAGUGCAUUCCUCACCCAUUGUCAUCAAAGGAAAAGCCCAUGUGGGUAGAGACCCUAUCAGCUUGUCUUCUGACAGAAGAAGAUAUAAAAAUGGAUUCCAAGAAAGAUCCUUCAUCUCCGAACUGCUUAGACUUUUACAGGGAAGCGUGCCAGAUGCAAACUGGAAAUUCAAAAGACAAUCUGGGUACCUUGAAAGACUUUUGGGGAACUGGCAGUUUAUUACAUCACUGCCACCAUUUGGAGUUACAAACUGUGACUCACCUGUGCACAUAUUUUACCUGCUUUAAUCUCUCAAUAACUCUCAUUCUUCU